rnacentral:rRNA from 1 species
AACGAACGCUGGCGGUGUGCCUCAUACAUGCAAGUCGUACGCGAAUCCUGCCGCAAGGCAGGGUUUGAGUGGCAAACGGGUGCGUAACACGUAGGUAAUCUUCCUUUGAGUUGGGGAUAAGCCCUCGAAAGGGGGUCUAAUACCGAAUAACACUUCGGGCCGGCAUCGGCCUGAAAUUAAAGAUGGCCUCUGCUUGCAAGCUAUCGCUCGGAGAUGAGCCUGCGGCCGAUUAGUUAGUUGGCGGGAUAAAAGCCCACCAAGACUUCGAUCGGUAGCCGGUCUGAGAGGAUGUCCGGCCACACUGGGACUGAGAUACGGCCCAGACUCCUACGGGAGCAGCAGUAGGGAAUAUUGCGCAAUGGCCGCAAGGCUGACGCAGCAACACCGCGGUGGGGGA